AGUGAACGCUGGCGGCAGGCCUAACACAUGCAAGUCGAGCGGCAGCGGGUUCCCGCGAGGGGAUGCCGGCGAGCGGCAGACGGGUGAGGAACACAUCGGAAUCUGCCUGGUUGUGGGGGAUAACGUAGGGAAACUUACGCUAAUACCGCAUGAGACCCUGAGUCGACGGACUGGGGGUGAAAGUGAGGGACCUUCGGGCCUCACGCGACCAGAUGAGCCGAUGUCGGAUUAGCUAGUUGGCGGGGUAACGGCCCGCCAAGGCGACGAUCCGUAGCUGGUCUGAGAGGAUGAUCAGCCACACUGGGACUGAGACACGGCCCAGACUCCUACGGGAGGCAGCAGUGGGGAAUCUUGGACAAUGGGCGCAAGCCUGAUCCAGCCAUG
rnacentral:rRNA from 1 species